rnacentral:sRNA from 1 species
AAGGCGGGGAGGAAUUUUGUUUCGGAACGUCUAAAAGAUCGCUUGCAAGAAAUUCGGAUGAUUCGCGCCUGCGGAUUCUGUAAUGCGCGAGUGAAAGUUGUUGUUUAUAAUGACCACCAUUACGCUGUUCGCACAGGUAUGCGCACGCGUCAACAGCCACCGACUGAAUGCGUGCGCCAUGAUCAAAUCAUCCAAACGCCGUUUAUAUGCGAAAAUGCAAAAUGCCAUGAACGUCGUACCCAAAACACCACGCCAAAAAUGUCAAAGAAAACAAAGAUAAAAAACUCAUGAGAAAUCAAAUUUUCAAAUGCGCCACUUUCACCCCAAUCUCCUGUGGUGAAAUAUCACACCCAGACCUCAACACGACAGACUUGAUUCUAUUAACGGUAACAAUACUGAUCCACUCCCCGGCAACUGACGGCCGUACGAGGAGAUCCAAACACGCCUCCACCUCCUGGUUUGAUAUCGGGCAUCUCAAGGAGUCCCGAAUAUUUUGAAUGAUGGUGUUCCAACUAUAUGGCUUUUUAUGUGAUGGUGUGACGGUCGCGGCGGGAGAUAAAGACCCACGUCCCCCACUCAAUAAAGAAGAAGACGAAAUCGAACAUGACGGCCUCAGUAAAACCAAUACUCCAACAACUUCUUCAACCAAAUCGACGGCUGAGCGGCGUAGUAUGGCUUCCUUUGACAGCGGGGGAGCCAGCGUCGUUUGCUUGAGUUGUUUGUUCUGGAUUCUUUGAAGGAGCCCGUUUCGUCGUCCUGCGGUACCUGCACCACACGAGCUUCUUGCGUCAGAUGCUGCUCUUUCACCACAUUUGCGACUUUCGGGAUUAUCGACCGCUGCUUUCACCCCCAAUACUCCUCUUUGGAAAUCGAGAAGACGUUGUUGUCCAAUGCUUAGCGAGUUAAAGAUAGUGGAUGAAUCAUGGAUGGGAGCCAGUGGGAUGGUGUGUAGGAAAUCGACGUUUAAUUCUUUCUGAUCAGGAUCCUUUAGGUUUUUCCGCCAGAUGCGUCCCAGAUUGCGAGUGAAUAGAUCGUUUAGCUCAGCUUCGCUAAAUGGGGGCCCGAAUCUGUUAUUUGGGGUGUUUGUGUUUAGUAACUCCAAACAAAACUUUCCAAUACCAUAUUUGGCGAUUCUGAAGCGCGGACCAGUGUUUGAGCCUUUCUCUCUGUCUGAUAUUUCCAGGUCGCUUUCUAAUAUAUACAGCAGUCUUUGUAGGUCUUUCUUCUCGACCUUGCGCUUUUUCCAUAUCUUCUCUAUGCAAGGUAGUAGUUGGUUGAGGUCCGCAGAUGUGUUUCGGCUAUUAUGAGCAUAGUGUAGCGAUAAAGCAGUAAGAAAGGAAGAAUGUAGGUUUGUAAGAUCGUAGAAGGAUUGGGGCCAGUCGUCAUCACCAUUAUCUAAUAUUUCAUUAGGAUUGAUGUUGGUAUUGGAUAGGGUUGAUUGCUGAAAUCUGCGGUUAUCGGUUGUGGAUGGAGAUGGGCUGGGGGAUUGAAAACGACUCGUUGGCGUUGAGGGAGAUGUCGACCCUGCCGUAAUACAUGACGAAGAGGAA